rnacentral:miRNA from 1 species
UUGUACACUCUAGGCUUUCAUU